GUAGGGAAUAUUGCGCAAUGGACGAAAGUCUGACGCAGCGACGCCGCGUGAGUGAUGAAGGCCUUAGGGUCGUAAAGCUCUGUUGAAUGGGAAGAAAAAAAUGACGGUACCAUUCGAGGAAGGACCGGCUAACUUCGUGCCAGCAGCCGCGGUAAUACGAGGGGUCCUAGCGUUGUUCGGAAUCAUUGGGCGUAAAGGGUGUGUAGGUGGCCAUGUAAGUCAGGUGUGAAAGCCCCGGGCUCAACCCGGGAAGUGCACUUGAUACUGCGUGGCUUGAGUACCGAAGAGGGUAGUGGAAUUCCAGGUGUAGUGGUGAAAUACGUAGAUAUCUGGAGGAACACCGGUGGCGAAGGCGGCUACCUGGUCGAGUACUGACACUGAGACACGAAAGCAUGGGGAUCAAACAGGAUUAGAUACCCCAGUAGCCC
rnacentral:rRNA from 1 species